rnacentral:rRNA from 1 species
AUUGAACGCUGGCGGCAGGCCUAAUACAUGCAAGUCGAACGGUAACAUAAGAAAGCUUGCUUUCUUGAUGACGAGUGGCGGACGGGUGAGUAAUAUUUGGGAAGCUACCUGAUAGAGGGGGGACAACAGUUGGAAACGACUGCUAAUACCGCAUAUAGCCUAAGGGUGAAAGCAGCAAUGCGCUAUCAGAUGCGCCCAAACGGGAUUAGCUAGUAGGUGAGGUAAAGGCUCACCUAGGCGACGAUCUCUAGCUGGUCUGAGAGGAUGAUCAGCCACAUUGGGACUGAGACACGGCCCAGACUCCUACGGGAGGCAGCAGUAGGGAAUAUUGCACAAUGGAGGAAACUCUGAUGCAGCCAUGCCGCGUGUGUGAAGAAGGCCUUCGGGUUGUAAAGCACUUUCGGAGGGGAGGAAAAGAUGACGUUACCCUCAGAAGAAGCACCGGCUAACUCCGUG